rnacentral:rRNA from 1 species
UAUGUGAUCGUCUCUCGCAUAUCAAUAAGCGGAGGAAAAGAAACUAACAAGGAUUCCCCUAGUAACGGCGAGUGAAGCGGGAAGAGCUCAAAUUUGAAAUCUUAAAGGGUUUCCCUUUACGAAUUGUAGUUUAAAGAAGUGUUUUCUGUUGAGGUUUUGGUAAAAGUUCUUUGGAAUAGGACAUCAUAGAGGGUGAGAAUCCCGUAUUUGACCUUUACUUUCAACUUUGUGAUACACUUUCAAAGAGUCGGAUUGUUUGGGAAUGCAGUCCAAAAUGGGUGGUAAAUUUCAUCUAAAGCUAAAUAUUGGCGAGAGACCGAUAGCGAACAAGUACCGUGAGGGAAAGAUGAAAAGAACUUUGAAAAGAGAGUUAAACGGUACGUGAAAUUGUCAAAAGGGAAGCGUUUGACACCAGUGUUGUUUUUCUGAAAAUCAAUUAAAGAACUGUUUAUGCUAAGUUGUUUAGACUUUAUCAGCUAACUGUUUAGUUUUGAGCUUUUCUUUAAUGCACUUUUCAGCUAACAAGUCAACAUCAAUUUCUUUUGCUGUAAAAAAGCUUGAGGAAGGUGGCUUGAGAUUCGUCUUAAGUGUUUAUAGCCUCUUGCCUAUGCAGUCGGAGAGAUUGAGGUCUGCAGCGUAGAUCCUUCGGGGCUAAAUGCAUUUGUGCUAAGUUAUAGCAUUUUAUAGACAACUUGUUGACUAUGAUUUGUCUUGUAGCUUACUCGCUUAUGUUAUUUUACCUACGCUUAGGAUGUUGAAGUCAUCGUAUCGCGC